rnacentral:rRNA from 1 species
CCUACGGGAGGCAGCAGUGAGGAAUUUUGCGCAAUGGGGGAAACCCUGACGCAGCAACGCCGCGUGAGUGAAGAAGGCCUUCGGGUUGUAAAGCUCUGUCAAGUGGGAAGAAACUUUUCCGGCCGAAUAAGCCGGAAAACUGACGGUACCACUGGAGGAAGCACCGGCUAACUCCGUGCCAGCAGCCGCGGUAAUACGGAGGGUGCAAGCGUUAUUCGGAAUUACUGGGCGUAAAGGGCGUGUAGGUGGUCGGAUAAGUCAGGUGUGAAAGCCCUUGGCUUAACCAAGGAAGUGCAUCUGAAACUAUCAGACUGGAGUACGGGAGGGGGAAGUGGAAUUCCUGGUGUAGAGGUGAAAUUCGGAGAUAUCAGGAGGAACACAAGUGGCGAAGGCGGCUUUCGGGGCCUAUCCUGACGCUGAGGAGCGAAAGCGUGGGGAGCAACCCGGAUUAGAUCCCCGGGUAGU